rnacentral:rRNA from 2 species
UCCUUAUCGUAGGGGAGGCAGCGGAAAGGAAUAUUGGGCAAGAGUCGCAAGCCUGAACCAGCCAUGCCGCGUGCAGGAUUUUGGUCUUAUGGAUUGUAAAAGCUUGGAGGAGGGAAGAAACACUUAAUACUCGUAGAUAGUGACGUACUCGCAGAAUAAGA